rnacentral:rRNA from 1 species
UGCCGGUCUAUCAUGCAGUCGAGCGGACAGAUGGGAGCUUGCUCCCUGAUGUUAGCGGCGGACGGGUGAGUAACACGUGGGUAACCUGCCUGUAAGACUGGGAUAACUCCGGGAAACCGGGGCUAAUACCGGAUGGUUGUCUGAACCGCAUGGUUCAGACAUAAAAGGUGGCUUCGGCUACCACUUACAGAUGGACCCGCGGCGCAUUAGCUAGUUGGUGAGGUAACGGCUCACCAAGGCGACGAUGCGUAGCCGACCUGAGAGGGUGAUCGGCCACACUGGGACUGAGACACGGCCCAGACUCCUACGGGAGGCAGCAGUAGGGAAUCUUCCGCAAUGGACGAAAGUCUGACGGAGCAACGCCGCGUGAGUGAUGAAGGUUUUCGGAUCGUAAAGCUCUGUUGUUAGGGAAGAACAAGUGCCGUUCAAAUAGGGCGGCACCUUGACGGUACCUAACCAGAAAGCCACGGCUAACUACGUGCCAGCAGCCGCGGUAAUACGUAGGUGGCAAGCGUUGUCCGGAAUUAUUGGGCGUAAAGGGCUCGCAGGCGGUUUCUUAAGUCUGAUGUGAAAGCCCCCGGCUCAACCGGGGAGGGUCAUUGGAAACUGGGGAACUUGAGUGCAGAAGAGGAGAGUGGAAUUCCACGUGUAGCGGUGAAAUGCGUAGAGAUGUGGAGGAACACCAGUGGCGAAGGCGACUCUCUGGUCUGUAACUGACGCUGAGGAGCGAAAGCGUGGGGAGCGAACAGGAUUAGAUACCCUGGUAGUCCACGCCGUAAACGAUGAGUGCUAAGUGGUUAGGGGGUUUCCGCCCCUUAGUGCUGCAGCUAACGCAUUAAGCACUCCGCCUGGGGGAGUACGGUCGCAAGACUGAAACUCAAAGGAAUUGACGGGGGCCCGCACAAGCGGUGGGAGCAUGGGGGUUAAUUCGAAGCAACGCGAAGAACCUUACCAGGGCUUGACUCCUCUGACAUCCCUAAAGAUAGGACGUCCCCUUCGGGGGCAAAGGGAAGGGGGGGGAUGGUUGCCCCAGC